UGUUUUCAAAGGCGUCGCCGAGGCGAGCCCGGGGCGCGCUUUGGUGUGAGGCGACCGGAAAUCGCCUUGCUCCCCCAAACUCAGACGUGCUGCUGGAAAAGCGGCCGCCUAGGCGACGGAGCGUCGCUUUUUUGCAGAGGCGGCACCUCAGGCAGGAACGCGAGGAAGAAGAAGACGCGAGUCACGACUCGCGACAUAAUUUGAUAGCUGAACACGGCGCAGCCAAGGAAGAGUGGAAAGAAGAGUGGGUGCGUUGCUUGGCUGGUGGAUCUACAAGCCAUGAGUGAGAAAGGGGAAGAUGGAAGAGACAAAGCAUGGAAGUACACAAAAAAAUUGGAAGGGGAGAGAUACUUUAGAUGUGUAUUUUGUAAUCAAGUAUGCAGUGGCACUAUAUCUAGACUUAAGCAUCAUUUAGCAGGUGUUGCGGGUGGUAUGAAAGCAUGUAAUAAAGUCCCUGCAGAUGUGAAGAAAGAGUACAAAUUAGUUUUAAAAGUAUUUAAAGAUGAUAAAAAUAAGAGAAGCAUUAUGUUGCGUGAGAUUGGGGAAGGAAUUGGUGUAGGAAGUAGUAGUUGGACAUUGAUGAUUGUGAUGAUAUUCAUGUGGGUGUGGAUGGAUAUGAUGAUUAUGAAUUGGAAGAAUGAAGUGCAGUUGUUAUUUUCGAAUUAAUUUAGUAUGAAACUAUGUAUUAUUGAAUUUAAUGUUAUGGGAGUUCUUAUUUAGAAGUUAGAACCUUAUUUAAGUAUAUUCAUAUUAUUUAUAAAUGUAGAGUAUUAUUAUAAUAAUUACGGGAAAGGCGGUCGCCUCAACGCCUUGAGGCACUCGCCUUGCGAGGCUCUAGGCGGUCGCCUUCGCCUUCGCUUUCGCAUUUGAAAACACUGGUAAACACACACACAAAAAC